UACCAUUUGCAAUUUGUAUUUUUCAUUAAAACAAAUUUUACUUUUAGUUCCAUCUGUACCACCUUCAAACAGUAAAUUUAUGAAUCUGGAAUGUCUCUGAUUGAUUAUUGAGUUCCUCUUAUUCCUAUUUAUAUUAUCUAUUUAAUACUUUUGUGUUUUAUUAUAUGAAGCUUAUAGGUCAUUUCGAACUUAAAAUUAAAAUCAUUUACUAAAAGCCAAGACAUAGAGUAAUUACUAUGUUUCAAAACAUUUUUAUUUUUUAAUUUUUUUUAUUAGGUUGGUGGGUUAAAUAUGAUCAUUUAAAUGAGAAAAUGUAUACUAGUGCAAUUUGUAAUGUGGGUGUUAUAACAUCACAACCACAUCUAUGGCCAACUCUAAGGUCACGUUAUUUUGUUUGGCAGUGUUUUGGAAUCAAGUUAUGGCAAAAUUUUGUGUAUAAAAUAUAACAAUUACAUUUAAAAA